CGAACGCUGGCGGCAGGCCUAAUACAUGCAAGUCGAACGGCUCUUCGGAGCAGCGGCGGACGGGUGAGUAACGCGUGGGAAUGUGCCCUUAGGUACGGAACAACACAGGGAAACUUGUGCUAAUACCGUAUGUGCCCUUCGGGGGAAAGAUUUAUCGCCUUUGGAGCAGCCCGCGUUGGAUUAGGUAGUUGGUGAGGUAAAGGCUCACCAAGCCGACGAUCCAUAGCUGGUCUGAGAGGAUGACCAGCCACACUGGGACUGAGACACGGCCCAGACUCCUACGGGAGGCAGCAGUAGGGAAUCUUGCGCAAUGGGCGAAAGCCUGACGCAGCCAUGCCGCGUGUAUGAUGAAGGUCUUAGGAUUGUAAAAUACUUUCACCGGGGAAGAUAAUGACGGUACCUGGAGAAGAAGCCCCGGCUAACUUCGUGCCAGCCGCCGCAGUAAAAC
rnacentral:rRNA from 1 species